rnacentral:rRNA from 1 species
CGUCAAGUCCUCAUGGCCUUUAUGCCUAGGGCUGCACACGUCCUACAAUGGUGCACACAAAGGGAAGCAAAAUCGCGAGAUCAAGCAAAUCCCAAAAAAUGCGCCCCAGUUCGGAUUGUAGUCUGCAACUCGACUACAUGAAGUCGGAAUCGCUAGUAAUCGCGGGUCAGCAUACCGCGGUGAAUAUGUUCCUGAGCCUU